UGGGGAAUAUUGCACAAUGGGCGAAAGCCUGAUGCAGCAACGCCGCGUGAGUGAUGAAGGCCUUCGGGUUGUAAAGCUCUGUCUUUUGGGACGAUAAUGACGGUACCAAAGGAGGAAGCCACGGCUAACUACGUGCCAGCAGCCGCGGUAAUACGUAGGUGGCAAGCGUUGUCCGGAUUUACUGGGCGUAAAGGAUGCGUAAGCGGAUUUUUAAGUGAGAUGUGAAAACCCUAAGCUUAACUUGGGGACUGCAUUUCAUACUGGAAAUCUAGAGUGCGGGAGAGGAGAAUGGAAUUCCUAGUGUAGCGGUGAAGUGCGUAGAGAUUAGGAAGAACACCAGUGGCGAAGGCGAUUCUCUGGACCGUAACUGACGCUGAGGCAUGAAAGCGUGGGUAGCAAACAGGAUUAGAUACCCUGGUAGUCCACGCCGUAAACGAUGAGUACUAGGUGUAGGAGGUAUCGACCCCUUCUGUGCCGCAGUUAACACAAUAAGUACUCCGCCUGGGAAGUACGAUCGCAAGAUUAAAAA
rnacentral:rRNA from 1 species